AAUGACUUUUGCAAUUACUAUUGGUUUAUGCUCACUCCCUUACUUUUAUAGAUGAUUAUGAAUGGAUCUAAUAAUUAUUUAUGAAAUCGUUUUAAUCUCAGCUCACUUUCAUCUUAUUUUAGGUUUAAGCACUUUAGUUGUUUACUGACUCGGAAGGAGGGAGGGAGGGUUGAUUCAAGAAAAAGGCUGAGGUUUAAAAAUUGGAAGUUUUCUGCAACAGGGUUGUUUAGUUGUAGGUGGUAGGCUGAGCAAUUGGAGUGCACUAAAGAGGAAUUCUGAAUUUGAUGCCCUAUUAGUGAGGCGAGCGAAGCUCUUGUGAAAACGCAUUAAGUAGGUGGUGAUGCUUCAUGUGAGAUGCAACUUCUAGAAUCAAGGACCGAGAUGGAUGGAGAUGAUGGAAAAGGUUGGGAGACUGUUGAUUUUUUUAGAACGAAACUUUUAAAACUACUUUGUUCAUGUAAUCUUUAUUUUAAAAGUUAUUCCAUUAGUAAUUCUUUUUAAACUGUUGCGUUGU